GGAAAGUGGGAGCGAUGGGACUGGAUGCCUGAAUUUACAGCUCUUUUAAAUUGACUUUUAAGGCUGGUGUCAUCAUUCUGAUUGACAGGGUCAUAUGAUACUUUAGCACCACGGGCUGUAUAAAACACUAAGCAUGCACGCUGUUUAAGAGAAGAAAAAGCGCAGUCACCCAUUGGGCCACAUGAAAGACCCUCUGCUGUUUUAGGGGCACGUUUUCCAAUGGUAAUCAAGUCACACACUCGUGGUGGCCUAACUUGCUUAACCCAAUUCGUAACAUUUGGAGGACAACCAACUCUUGUUCCAUAUGGAUUUAUCUCCUCCACAAUGCUGGAACAGAUAUCAUCAAAACUAUUUUCUACAGAUUCUUUCCCAAAGGGAGUUUUCCUUGUGGUUGUUGGGUAUUGUACUUAAAAUGGUUCGAAGGCUAGUUUUGGAAAAUGUGAUGUGCUCUUGUGCCUAUUUGUAGGCCUGUUAUAAAUAGGUUUGGCAGGGUACACAUGCUCAUGUUUGAUUGGAAAUUGCACAGUGCCUUGAGCCGGAGAGAGUGGUGGGUCCUUAUACAAAGAGACAAAAGGAAAGCUAUGAAUGCUGCUAUCUCCCAGAUUUAGAGCCACAGAAGAAAACCUCAUUUAUUUUGGUGGAUGUACAUCAUCAUCUGUUGCCUUCUCUGAGGAAGUUUCUCCUGGGAAUUUAAGUUUGAAAGAGAAACUGUAUCUGUUGGAGAAUGAGUUCCAGGAGGCUGAUGACCCGCUCCUACUCUGCGGGGGACGGGAGGUCCAGCUCCCACAAUGGAGAUGAUGUCAUAGCGAGUAGCAGAGCCAGCAGCCGCAGCUACCUCUCUGAUGUCAGGCCUGAAAACAGGUACACAACCCCUCAGCUCAACACAGGAAAUAUUACUGUACCUCAACAAGCAACAAGAAAGUUAGAAUAUGUUUAUUACCAGAUCCCUCUCCUUUUGAAGUGAAGUUUAACCAUUGAUUCGGCAUCAUUGCAUUAUGAGGUCGUAAUAAUAAAACAAUAAUCAUUGAAUUUAUAAUGCCUUUUUAAAUUAAAAUGAUUGGAUGGCUUGAUUGAAAUGAUUUCUCAGUGUGUUAGUUAGUUAUAGAUAGUUGUGUUAGUUAUAUUUACAUAACAUUUACAUUUGAGUCAUUUAGCAGACACACUCAUCCAGAGCCAGUUAUCAUGCAUUCAUCUUAAGGUAACUGGAUGAGUCAACCACAUAGUGGUUAGUUAGUUGGAGAUAGUAGUAUUAGUUAUAUUUACAUAACAUUUACAUUUGAGUCAUUUAGCAGACACACUCAUCCAGAGCCAGUUAUCAUGCAUUCAUCUUAAGGCAACUGGAUGAGUCAACCACAUAUCAAAGGCAUUGUUGGUUUCCAUGGUGUCGUUUACUGCAUUUAGGACUGUUUGAAUGGCCAGCUGAUAGGCAACACUCACUACCGGCUCAUAAAAAGCUAUGACCAUGAAGGUCAGCUCUCAGCUCUUUAUAAAUAAACUGCAUCUCACUGCAUGAGCCUGUGUAAAGGCAAACCGUCUUCCAAAAUGCAUCCUACAAAUAGAGGAAAAGUUCAUGAAAAUCCAAUCUUCCUACUACUGGGUAUGUCUACUUAUGGCCAAGUGUGUGCUGCAAAACUAUCAAGUCAAGUGAAAACAUGUAUUCUUCAUUAUAAUUAAAUAAAAUAUUAAUGGUACAGAUAGUAUCGUCAUGUAAUACUUUCUGACGUCACUUAGUGUUUUUCCAUUGUCAGUGGUUUGAUUUUGUUUCACUGUAGACACUAGGCAAUAGUCAGUCAAAAUACAAUCUCAAAUAAACCAUGGCCUUAGCAGCACCCUAUCUUAAUGAUCUG
ensembl:lncRNA